ACUCGCCUCGAGAUGCACUCCAUACCCUUAUGUGACCUUACCUAUACCGUGUGCCUCCGGGGACGGCCCCGGGGCUUGCCCCCCGGUCCCCGCUGCCCCCCGAGACCCGCGCCCCUUGGAGGUUUUUCAACUCUUGAUAAUUGAUGGACUCUCUGAGUCUUCUGUAUUUUUAAACGGAUCUUUUGGCUCUGGAUCCCUUGAUUAUGGCAUCGAAGAGCAACGCAUAAUGUGAAUUGCAGAAUUGUGAAUUGCAUAAUUCCUUGAAUCAUCCAUUCUUUGAACUAACAUUGCGCCCGCCAUGCUUGUGGCAGCGAUGCUUGUUCCUCGGGUUUCAACUCUCGCGCCCACCCUGUUGUGGGGGAGACCUGCGGCUGCCGCAGGCCCUGAAAACCAAUGGCGGGCUCGCUGUCGCACCGAGCGUAGUACCAUACAUCUCGCUCUGGUCGCGCCACGGGUUCCGGCCGUUAAACCACCUUUUUAACCCAAGGUUGACCUCAGAUCAGGUAGGAAGACCCGCUGAACUUAACCAUAUCAAAAGCCAAAGGGAAGGAAA
rnacentral:rRNA from 1 species